UACGGGGGGAGCAAGCGUUGUUCGGAUUUACUGGGCGUAAAGGGCGCGUAGGCGGUCAGCACAAGUCAGUUGUGAAAUCUCCGGGCUUAACUCGGAAAGGUCAACUGAUACUGUGCGACUAGAGUGCAGAAGGGGCAACUGGAAUUCUCGGUGUAGCGGUGAAAUGCGUAGAGAUCUGGAGGAACACCGAUGGCGAAGGCAGCCUUCUGGGCCAACACUGACGCUCAUGCACGAAAGCGUGGGGAGCAAACAGG
rnacentral:rRNA from 1 species